rnacentral:pre_miRNA from 1 species
UUAACUUAAAUAUGUAUGGAGUUGGAUUUGCUUGCCUACGUUUGCCGCUAGGGGCGCUAUUCCAACUCUAUACAAAUUUGAGUUA